AAGAGCCGUAUGCGUAGACGCGCUCGUACGGAUCUGUGCGGGGGGCGAUCAGUGAUGAUCGUCCCUACCGCGAC
rnacentral:autocatalytically_spliced_intron from 1 species